rnacentral:rRNA from 1 species
GACGAACCGUGCGAACGUUAUUCGGAAUCACUGGGCUUAAAGCGCGUGUAGGCGGGACGGCACGUCGGUCGCUGAAAUCCCCAGGCUUAACUUGGGAACUGCGUCUGAUACUGGGAGGCUUGAGUGCGGGAGAGGGAUGUGGAAUUCCAGGUGUAGCGGUGAAAUGCGUAGAUAUCUGGAGGAACACCGGUGGCGAAGGCGGCAUCCUGGACCGACACUGACGCUGAGGCGCGAAAGCUAGGGGAGCAAACGGG